GAUGAACGCUGGCGGCGUGCCUAAUACAUGCCAGUCGAGCGAACAGACGAGGAGCUUGCUCCUCUGACGUUAGCGGCGGACGGGUGAGUAACACGUGGAUAACCUACCUAUAAGACUGGGAUAACUUCGGGAAACCGGAGCUAAUACCGGAUAAUAUAUUGAACCGCAUGGUUCAAUAGUGAAAGACGGUUUUGCUGUCACUUAUAGAUGGAUCCGCGCCGCAUUAGCUAGUUGGUAAGGUAACGGCUUACCAAGGCAACGAUGCGUAGCCGACCUGAGAGGGUGAUCGGCCACACUGGAACUGAGACACGGUCCAGACUCAUACGGGAGGCAGCAGUAGGGAAUCUUCCGCAAUGGGCGAAAGCCUGACGGAGCAACGCCGCGUGAGUGAUGAAGGUCUUCGGAUCGUAAAACUCUGUUAUUAGGAAAGAACAAAUGUGUAAGUAACUAUGCACGUCUUGACGGUACCUAAUCAGAAAGCCACGGCUAACUACGUG
rnacentral:rRNA from 1 species